rnacentral:rRNA from 1 species
GAUGAACGCUGGCGGCGUGCCUAAUACAUGCAAGUCGAGCGAACAGACGAGGAGCUUGCUCCUCUGACGUUAGCGGCGGACGGGUGAGUAACACGUGGAUAACCUACCUAUAAGACUGGGAUAACUUCGGGAAACCGGAGCUAAUACCGGAUAAUAUAUUGAACCGCAUGGUUCAAUAGUGAAAGACGGUUUUGCUGUCACUUAUAGAUGGAUCCACGCCGCAUUAGCUAGUUGGUAAGGUAACGGCUUACCAAGGCAACGAUGCGUAGCCGACCUGAGAGGGUGAUCGGCCACACUGGAGCUGAGACACGGUCCAGACUCCUACGGGAGGCAGCAGUAGGGAAUCUUCUGCAAUGGGCGAAAGCUUGACGGAGCAACGCCGCGUGAGUGAUGAAGGUCUUCGGAUCGUAAAACUCUGUUAUUAGGGAAGAACAAAUGUGUAAGUAACUAUGCACGUCUUGACGGUACCUAAUCAGAAAGCCACGGCUAACUACGUG